rnacentral:rRNA from 1 species
CUACGGGAGGCAGCAGUGGGGAAUAUUGGACAAUGGGCGAAAGCCUGAUCCAGCAAUGCCGCGUGAGUGAUGAAGGCCUUAGGGUUGUAAAGCUCUUUUACCCGGGAUGAUAAUGACAGUACCGGGAGAAUAAGCUCCGGCUAACUCCGUGCCAGCAGCCGCGGUAAUACGGAGGGAGCUAGCGUUGUUCGGAAUUACUGGGCGUAAAGCGCACGUAGGCGGCUUUGUAAGUUAGAGGUGAAAGCCUGGAGCUCAACUCCAGAAUUGCCUUUAAGACUGCAUCGCCCGAAUCCAGGAGAGGUCAGUGGAAUUCCGAGUGUAGAGGUGAAAUUCGUAGAUAUUCGGAAGAACACCAGUGGCGAAGGCGGCUGACUGGACUGGUAUUGACGCUGAGGUGCGAAAGCGUGGGGAGCAAACAGGAUUAGAUACCCUUGUAGUC